rnacentral:rRNA from 1 species
UACGGGGGGAGCAAGCGUUGUUCGGAUUUACUGGGCGUAAAGGGCGCGUAGGCGGCCACCGCAAGUCAAUUGUGAAAUCUCCGGGCUUAACUCGGAAAGGUCAACUGAUACUGCGGGGCUAGAGUGCAGAAGGGGCAACUGGAAUUCUCGGUGUAGCGGUGAAAUGCGUAGAUAUCGAGAGGAACACCUGCGGCGAAGGCGGGUUGCUGGGCUGACACUGACGCUGAGGCGCGAAAGCUAGGGGAGCGAACAGG